GAAUAGCUCAGCUGGUUAGAGCGUGGUGCUGAUAACGCCAAGGUUGCAGGUUCGAUCCCCGUAUGGGGCAGCU